GCAAACAGAUGACUCUGAUGGAGCAGAGGAUCCAACAGCUCAAGCACCGUAUUAAGACCCUUAAGGACAUUCAGGCACUCGAGCUCUUCUUGGACACUGCACAACACGCUGCUGUAGAUCUGCAGCCUGCAUCACACCAACACCACCAUGACCAUGAUCAGGAACCUUAUGGGGAGAUCAACUCAAAGGUAGACAACCCUCAGGCUUGGAAGGAGGUCACCCAUAGAAUGAGACACAGGACCAGGCAGCCUCCGCAGAACUCCUCUGCUCAUCUGCAUUUACACAACAGAUUUGAAAUUCUUACAUCAUUAACAUACAAUCAGGAAACACAUCUUGUGGAGGACCACAGUUUCUUAGAUACCACUCAGUGGGCCACCCUUGAUCAAUGCGCAGGGGAUAGCCCUGACGGGGACUGCAUCACCACAUUCACACUUAUGUAAUCAUGCAAAUGCUCCAUCCCCAAUCGUAGACCAGGAGCAACAGGAACAUCCUUGGGAGAGUAAUGGGCUCUCAGAUGUAUCUCAAUGGAUUGUCAUUGAUGAAUGCACUGGGGAUGUUGAGGAGGAGGACAACACUUUACACCUACAUGAUUCACUUCAACAGGAACACUCUUCAGGGGACAUACACACUGUCUUGCACAAAAGGGACCCUGUCAAUCCUCAAAGGAAACAGGUCUUGGUAGUAGGUGACUCUCUCCUUAGAGGAACGGAAGCCAUCAUUUCCAGACCGGAUGGGAUGGCUCGAGAAACAUGCUGCCUCCCAGGGGCAAAAAUACACCAUAUCACUCAGAGGCUCAGCAGGCUCCUAAAGCCCCAUCACCCUCCCCACCUUAUGCUGAUUCAUGUAGGUACCAAUGACACCGCUAGGCAUACUUUUCAAAAGAUCACAAAUGAUUUUCGAGCUCUGGGAACAAAGCUAAAACUGUAUAAUGUACAUGUGAUCUUUUCAUCCCUCCUCCCUGUUGUAGGACACGGCUCUACAAGGGCCGGAAAAAUAGUACAGGUCAAUAACUGGCUCAGAAAAUGGUGUCAAGAGGAGCAUUUUGGCUUCCUUGACCAUGGUCUACUCUUCCAAGAGGAUGGACUACUGGCAAGUGAUGGGGUGCAUCUCACACAAGUAGGAAAACAUCUUUUUGCACACAGACUCACAAACCUCAUCAGGCGCACUUUAAACUAGAUCCACUGGGGGAGGGGAACAACAGCCUGGCGAACACUAUAUUACCCACGACCACAGGGAACCGCCAAAAGGCUAAACGGAGGGCUGCACAAACACAGCAAGGACCAAGUACAGAGAGCACAAUAAUCCCAAAUAAACAGCUCAAGGGGAGGUCACAGGGGCUUACAUGUCUUUACACCAAUGCACAGAGCAUGGGAAAUAAGCAAGACGAACUCCAACUCUUAGCACAGCACCACACAUACGAUGUCAUAGGCAUCACUGAAACCUGGUGGGAUGACUCCCAUCACUGGAAUUUAGCCAUUGAGGGCUAUAACCUCUUUCACAGAAAUAGAACAAAGGGGAGAGGAGGGGGAGUAGCUUUAUAUGUCAAAAACAGUUACGUUGCAGAAGAAAUGCAAGACUGUAAUCCGGGAAACCAUCUUGAAAGCAUCUGGAUAAGAAUCAAGGGAACCGGGACUCAAAAAGAUCUUGUCGUGGGUGUCUACUACAGACCUCCGAGUCAGGAUGAAGGACUUGAUGAAGCCUUCUGUCAACAGCUGACCAAACAGGCACAAAGAAGAGAUAUAGUAGUCAUGGGCGAUUUCAAUUAUCCCGAUAUCUGCUGGAAAACAAACUCAGCCAAGAGUACAAAGUCUAACAAAUUCCUCACUUGCCUUGCAGACAAUUUUAUGGUACAGAAGGUAGAAGAGGCAACAAGGGGAUCAGCAACUCUUGAUCUAAUCUUAACAAAUGUGGAAGACCUAAUCAAUACAGUUGAAGUCGUCGGAUCCUUAGGAGCAAGUGACCAUUUGUUCUUGCAGUUUGCAAUACAAAGGAAUGCUGAAACUAAGACAAGUCAAACACGCAUUCUGGACUUUAAGAGAGCUGACUUCCAAAAAAUGAAGGAAUUACUGAGCGGCAUUCCAUGGACGCCAAUAUUAAAAAACAAGGGAGUUAAGGAUGGAUGGGAGUUUUUCAAAAGUGAAAUACUCAAGGCGCAAAUGCAAACAGUGCCAACAAAGAAGAAAAAUAAGACAAAUGCAAAGAAGCCAGAAUGGAUGUCCAAAGAACUUCUAACUGAGCUAAAGCUCAAAAGUGACAUGCACAAGAAGUGGAAAAGGGGAGAAAUCACCAAAGAAGAAUUCAAACGUAUAGCCAACACCUGUAGGGAAAAGGUUCGCAAGGCUAAAGCGCAAAAUGAGCUCAGGCUUGCCAGGGACAUAAAAAACAACAAAAAAGGCUUUUUUGCUUACGUUGGUAGAAAAAGGAAGAAAAAGGAGGCGAUAGGGCCACUGCAAGGAGAAGAUGGGGUGAUGGCGACAGGGGACAGGGAAAAGGCAGAACUGCUCAAUGCCUUCUUUGCCUCGGUCUUCUCACAAAAAGAAAGCCAUCUUCAACCUCAGCAACAUGGAAUGGACGAAGGAUUUGGGGAAAUCCAACCCCAAAUAGGGAAACAAGUUGUCCAGGAACACCUGGCCGCUCUAAAUGAAUUCAAGUCCCCAGGGCCAGAUCAGCUACAUCCAAGAGUACUGAAGGAACUAGCGGAAGUUAUUUCAGAACCACUGGCGAUCAUAUUUGAGAGUUCUUGGAGAACAGGAGAAGUCCCAGCAGAUUGGAGGAGGGCGAAUGUGGUCCCUAUCUUCAAGAAGGGAAAAAAGAACGACCCAAACAAUUACCGUCCGGUCAGCCUCAUGUCGAUACCAGGCAAGAUUCUAGAAAAGAUCAUUAAGGAAGUGGUCUGCGAACACUUAGAAACAAAUGCAGUCAUUGCUAAUAGUCAACACGGAUUUACCAAAAACAAGUCAUGCCAGACUAAUCUGAUCUCUUUUUUCGAUAGAGUUACGAGUUGGGUCGAUACAGGGAAUGCCGUGGAUGUAGCGUACCUGGAUUUCAGUAAGGCCUUCGACAAAGUCCCCCACGACCUUCUGGCAAACAAACUAGUAAAAUGUGGGCUAGACAAAACUACGGUUAGGUGGAUCUGUAAUUGGCUAAGCGAAUGAACCCAAAGGGUGAUUCUCACCAAUGCGUCGUCUUCAUCAAGUGACAAGAGGAGUGCCGCAGGGCUCCGUCCUGGGUUCUGUUCAACAUCUUUAUUAACGACUUAGACGAAUGGUUAGAAGGCACGAUCAUCAAGUUUGCAGAUGACACCAAACUGGGAGGAAGAGCCAACACUCCAGAAGAAAGGAGCAGAAUUCAAAACGAUCUUGACAGACUAGAGAGAUGGGCCGAAACUAACAAAAUGAAGUUCAACAGGGACAAAUGCAAGAUACUUCACUUCGGCAGAAAAAAUGGAAAUCAAAGAUACAGAAUGUACGUGUGAAAAAGACCUUGGAGUCCUUGUGGACAACAAGUUAAACAUGAGCCAACAAUGUGAUGCGGCAGCUAAAAAAGCCAAUGGGAUUCUGGCCUGCAUCAAUAGGGGAAUAGCGUCUAGAUCCAGGGAAGUCCUGCUCCCCUCUAUUCUGCCUUGGUCAGACCACACCUGGAAUCACACUGGGUCCAAUUUUGGGCACCACAGUUGAAGGGAGAUGUUGACAAGCUGGAAAGCGUCCAGAGGAGGGCGACUAAAAUGAUUAAGGGUCUGGAGAACAAGCCCUAUGAGGAGCGGCUUAAAGAGCUGGGCAUGUUUAGCCUGCAGAAGAGAAGGCUGAGAGGAGACAUGAUAGCCAUGUACAAAUACGUGAAGGGAAGUCAUAGGGAGGAGGGAGCGAGCUUGUUUUCUGCUGCCCUGCAGACUAGGACACGGAACAAUGGCUUCAAACUACAGGAAAGGAGAUUCCACCUGAACAUCAGGAAGAACUUCCUCACAGUGAGGGCUGUUCGACAGUGGAACUCUCUCCCCCGAACUGUGGUGGAGGCUCCUUCUUUGGAGGCUUUUAAACAGAGGCUGGAUGGCCAUCUGUCGGGGGUGCUUUGGAUGCGAUUUCCUGCUUCUUAGAGGGGGGUUGGACUAGAUGGCCCAUGAGGUCUCUUCCAACUCUACGAUUCUAUGAUUCUAUGAACUACUUUUUCUGUCAAAUUUGUUGUAUAACAUGAUGUUUUGGUGCUUAAUUUGUAAAAGCAUAACCUAAUUUGAUGUUUAAUAGGCUUUUCCUUAACCUCUCCUUAUUACCCAACAUAUUUGCUUAUAUAACAUUCUGCUGGCCCGUUUACGUUGGAUAAGCGAGACUCUACUGUACAUAUACAAUUAAAAUAGUGAAUUAUAAUUAUUAUUACAUUGUAUUACAUCAUAGCACAUAAUGACCAAAUUUUAAGUACUUACUGGUGCAGUUUGGAGGCAAAUGGCAGAGGAUGAUGGGAGUUGUAGUUUAUCCACAAGCCUCUAUCUGUUUAUCUAUCUAUCUAUCUAUCUAUCUAUCUAUGUAUCCAUCCAUCCAUCCAUCUAUCUAAUCCAGGUAUGGGUAAACUUGGUGUUUUGGACUUCAACUCCCACAAUUCCUAACUACAAGGAAUAUCUUCCUAUCUAUCUGUCUGACUGUCUGUCUAUCUUCUACACCUCUGAUUAUCUCUAUGUUCCUCCCAAUGCUUGUCGCUUUGACGACAACACUGCCGCAAACCGCCCCCUUUUCCGACGGCGCGUCCCAGCGCUUUUCGGCGCGUGCGCCCAGAGGGAGGUCGGACCUCCCCAAGAUGGCGUCGCCCUUCAGCGGAGUCCUGCAGCUGACCGACUUGGACGACUUCAUCGGGCCCUCGCAGGACUGCAUCAAACCCAUCAAAGUAGACAAGAAGCCUGGAAAAGCGAUCGCUAAGAUCCGUAUUGAGGACGAUGGGACCUACGUUCAAGUGGAUCCG